GGUGUAAGCUCGUUUAAGGGAUAACAUCCAGGUACUUUGGUUGCCUCGUUCAUCCUUGGGAAGGUCUGAGACAAAGGCUGUAUUAAUAACGUCCCAGCCGGACGUCCCUGUAAGAGGGGAGUGGUUCACCAGACACAACGGUUUCCUCAAGCUAACAUGUUUAAACGUCAAAUGACAACCACGUUUGUGGUUGGAUGACCUCUGUGUUGGCUUGUCGGUUGAAAGUGGUCCAUGGCCAGCGCGUAGAGCAGCUUGAUAAACGAGGUGGGUGCAGAGUUCGAUUCUUCGUUCCAGCCCCAUAACUCAAUUCAGACUAUUCUUCAUC
rfam:Octopus bimaculoides Scaffold250574_contig_1, whole genome shotgun sequence.